rnacentral:rRNA from 1 species
CCUACGGGGGGCUGCAGUGGGGAAUAUUGGGCAAUGGGCGCAAGCCUGACCCAGCAACGCCGCGUGAAGGAAGAAGGCUCUCGGGUUGUAAACUUCUUUUAUCAGGGACGAAGCAAGUGACGGUACCUGAUGAAUAAGCCACGGCUAACUACGUGCCAGCAGCCGCGGUAAUACGUAGGUGGCAAGCGUUAUCCGGAUUUACUGGGUGUAAAGGGCGUGUAGGCGGGAAAGCAAGUCAGAUGUGAAAACCAUGGGCUCAACCUGUGGCCUGCAUUUGAAACUGUUUUUCUUGAGUACUGGAGAGGCAGACGGAAUUCCUAGUGUAGCGGUGAAAUGCGUAGAUAUUAGGAAGAACACCAGUGGCGAAGGCGGAUGACUGGACGACAACUGACGGUGAGGCGCGAAAGCGUGGGGAGCAAACAGGAUUAGAUACCCCAGUAGUC